rnacentral:rRNA from 1 species
UACGUAGGGGGCAAGCGUUGUCCGGAUUUAUUGGGCGUAAAGAGCGUGUAGGCGGCCAUACAGGUCAGCUGUGAAAACUCGAGGCUCAACCUCGAGACGUCGGUUGAAACCGUAUGGCUAGAGUCCGGAAGAGGAGAGUGGAAUUCCCGGUGUAGCGGUGAAAUGCGCAGAUAUCGGGAAGAACACCUAUGGCGCAAGCGGCUCACUGGACCACAACUGACGCUGAGGCGCGAAAGCUAGGGGAGCAAACAGG